rnacentral:rRNA from 1 species
GGUCAAGUGAGGUAAGGGCAUAUGGUGGAUGCCUGGGCACUUGGAGCCGAAGAAGGACGCGGCAAGCGGCGAAACGCUCCGGGGAGCCGCAAGCGGGCGAAGAUCCGGAGGUCUCCGAAUGGGGGAACCCACUCGAGGUAAUACUCGAGUAUCCACUGAUGAACACAUAGUCAGUGGAGGGGAACCGCGCGAACUGAAACAUCUAAGUAGCGCGAGGAAAAGAAAGAAAAGAAUCGAUUCCCUAAGUAGCGGCGAGCGAAAGGGGAGGAGCCCAAACCCGGCACUCAAGUGGACAUGGAAUUAUAGGCAAAAAAGAUGAUAUAAUACGUGUCCACUUGAGUGCCGGGGGUUAGGGCCCACCGUAGAAGUGAGUGAGUACUCUAGGCGAACGGACCUGGAAAGGCCGGCCGGAGAAGGUGAAAGCCCUGUAGUCGAAAGGGGAAAGCUUGCUGGUGGGUACCAGAGUACCACGGGAUAGGCGACCCUGUGGGAAGGCGGGAGGACCACCUCCUAAGGCUAAAUACUCCCAAGUGACCGAUAGCGGAUAGUACCGUGAGGGAAAGGUGAAAAGAACCCCGGGAGGGGAGUGAAAGAGAACCUGAAACCAUAUGCCUACAAGCAGUCAGAGUCCGGCACUCAACCUAGUGUUUACUGGGUGAAUAGAGUAAGAGGGAUAGAAAGAGGUAGAAGUAGUUAAGAGAAGAGUAAGCACUAAGUUGAGUGCCGGAUGAUGGCGUACUUUUUGUAGAACGGGCCGGCGAGUUACGGUAGCAAGCGAGGUUAAGCGAAAAGCGGAGCCGAAGCGAAAGCGAGUCCGAAGAGGGCGGGAGUUUGCUGCCGUAGACCCGAAACCGUGCGACCUACCCAUGGCCAGGGUGAAGCCGGAGUAAGAUCUGGUGGAGGCCCGAACCACGUUGGCGUUGAAAAGCCAUGGGAUGAGCUGUGGGUAGAGGUGAAAUGCCAAUCGAGCACGGAGAUAGCUGGUUCUCCCCGAAAUAGCUUUAGGGCUAGCCUCAGGGUAGAACCUAUGGAGGUAGAGCACUGAAUGGGCUAGGGGCCAAGUAGGUUACCGAACCCUAUCAAACUCCGAAUGCCAUAGGGAGGAACCUGGGAGUCAGACUACGAGUGAUAAGAUCCGUAGUCGAGAGGGGAACAGCCCAGACCUCCAGCUAAGGUCCCGAAGGGCAUGUUAAGUGGUAAAGGAAGUGGGACUUCGGAGACAACCAGGAUGUUGGCUUAGAAGCAGCCAUACAUUUAAAGAGUGCGUAACAGCUCACUGGUCGAGAGGUCCUGCGCCGAAAAUGAACGGGGCUCAAACAUGCCACCGAAGCUGGGGCU